GUGCUCACUUGGGCAGCACAUAUACUAAAAUUGGAACGAUACAGAGAAGAUUAGCAUGACCCCUGCGCAAGGAUGACACACAAAUUUGUGAAGCGUUCCAUAUUUUU
rnacentral:snRNA from 1 species